rnacentral:rRNA from 1 species
GAUGAACGCUAGCUACAGGCUUAACACAUGCAAGUCGAGGGGUAACGAGAGGGAAGCUUGCUUUCCUUGUCGACGACCGGCGGAUGGGUGAGUAACGCGUAUCCAACCUGCCCUUCAGUAAGGGAUAGCCUUUCGAAAGAAAGAAUAAUACCUUAUGUGGUCGUCAGAAGACAUCAGACGACGAUCAAAGAUUUAUCGCUGAAGGAUGGGGAUGCGUCCCAUUAGGCAGUAGGCGGGGUAACGGCCCACCUAACCUACGAUGGGUAGGGGUUCUGAGAGGAAGGUCCACCACAUUGGAACGGAGACACGGUCCAAACUCCUACGAGAGGCAGCAGUGAGGAAUAUUGGUCAAUGGCCGUAAGGCUGAACCAGCCAAGUAGCGUGCAGGAUGACGGCCCUAUGGGUUGUAAACUGCUUUUAAACGGGGAUAAAGUGAGCCACGUGUGGUUUAUUGCAGGUACCGUUUGAAUAAGGACCGGCUAAUUCCGUGCCAGCAGCCGCUGUAACAC